CUGGUUGACCCUCCUUCCUGUGGAUACAGGGAACCCCAGAGGGUCUCCUGGAUUUCCUUCACCAGCUCUCUGCCUUACGCCAUGACUGACAUCACCUACAAGGCUGGGACACGUACAAGAAGCUUGGGCCUGGAAGUGACAAAUGGUUUUCAGGUUGGAGUCAGCCAUGGGAAGAUCUGGAGCAUGAGCAAAGAGUGCAGCAUGUGCAAAGGCCCUGAGGCAUGCAUGCUCUUAGUGCAUCUGAGGACCAGAAAGAAGCCAGGAUGUCUGGACACAGGAGAGUGAAUGAAGUCUGGCAACUCUAGUAGACAGCCCUACCUCCAUUUGGUAGCUUCCAGCUACUGAAAGCAAAUAUUUUUACUGUGCCACAAUUAAACAUUUAUACAGCACCC